rnacentral:rRNA from 1 species
UACGUAGGGUGCGAGCGUUGUCCGGAAUUACUGGGCGUAAAGAGCUCGUAGGUGGUUUGUCGCGUUGUCCGUGAAAACUCACAACUCAAUUGUGGGCGUGCGGGCGAUACGGGCAGACUGGAGUACUGCAGGGGGAGACUGGAAUUCCUGGUGUAGCGGUGGAAUGCGCAGAUAUCAGGAGGAACACCGGUGGCGAAGGCGGGUCUCGUGGGCAGUAACUGACGCUGAGGAGCGAAAGCGUGGGGAGCGAACAGGA